AAUAGAUACCCUGGUAGUCCAUGCCGUAAACGUUGGGCACUAGGUGUGGGGGCCAUUCCACGGUUUCCGCGCCGCAGCUAACGCAUUAAGUGCCCCGCCUGGGGAGUACGGCCGCAAGGCUAAAACUCAAAGGAAUUGACGGGGGCCCGCACAAGCGGCGGAGCAUGCGGAUUAAUUCGAUGCAACGCGAAGAACCUUACCAAGGCUUGACAUGUUCUCGACCGCCACAGAGAUGUGGUUUCCCCUUUGGGGCGGGUUCACAGGUGGUGCAUGGUUGUCGUCAGCUCGUGUCGUGAGAUGUUGGGUUAAGUCCCGCAACGAGCGCAACCCUCGUUCCAUGUUGCCAGCGGGUUAUGCCGGGGACUCAUGGGAGACUGCCGGGGUCAACUCGGAGGAAGGUGGGGACGACGUCAAAUCAUCAUGCCCCUUAUGUCUUGGGCUUCACGCAUGCUACAAUGGCCGGUACAAUGGGUUGCGAUACUGUGAGGUGGAGCCAAUCCCAAAAAGCCGGUCUCAGUUCGGAUUGGGGU
rnacentral:rRNA from 1 species